GAACGCACAUUGCGCCCCUUGGUAUUCCAUGGGGCAUGCUUGUUCGAGCGUCAUUUGUACUCUCAAGCUUUGCUUGGUGUUGGGUGUUUGUCCUUUCCUUGUGUUUGGACUCGCCUUAAAUUCAUUGGCAGCCAAAGUAUUGGUUUGAAGCGCAGCACAAUUUGCGAUUCUGACUGGUAUUGUUAGCGUCCAGUAAGCACAUUUAACACUUUUGACCUCGGAUCAAGUAGGGAUACCCGCUGAACUUAAG
rnacentral:misc_RNA from 1 species